AUGGUAAUCUUCCUCUACUCCACUUUCAUCGUGAUCACUGCUGCAAUCCAGGAAUUCCAAGAUGUUUUUCCCGAUGAGCUACCCCCGGGUCUACCUCCACUACGAGGCAUUGAGCACCGAAUCGAUCUCAUCCCCGGAGCGCCGCUUCCAAACAAAGCUCCCUACCGCGUCAACCCCGAAGAAACCAAAGAAAUACAAAGGCAAGUAAAGCAUCUCAUAGACCAUGGUCAUGUGCGUGAAAGCUUGAGCCCUUGUGCCGUACUGGUCAUUCUUGUGCCAAAACGAGACGGUAGCUUUCGCAUGUGUUCCGAUUGUAGACCUAUCAAUGCUAUCACCGUUCGUUAUAGGUAUCCCAUUCCACGCCUUGAUGAUAUGCUUGAUGAACUUUGCGGUGCCACUAUCUUUUCCAAAAUUGAUCUUAAAAGUGGUUACUAUCAAAUCCGCAUACAAGAGGGUGAUGAAUGGAAAACCGCUUUCAAAACAAAGUUUGGUCUAUAUGAGUGGUUAGUCAUGCCUAUGGGUUUAUCGGAAGCACCCGGUACUUUCAUGCGUCUUAUGCAUUAUGUGUUUCGCCCUCACAUUGGUGAAUUUGUUGUUGUCUACUUUGAUGAUAUCCUUGUGUUUAGCAAAUCUCUCAAAGAGGAUGUCACCGACCUUCGUACAGUGCUACAAACUCUUCGAAAAGAGCAACUUUAUGCUAAUAUGGAAAAAUGCCUCUUUGGUGUUGAUAAGCUUGUUUUCUUGGGUUUCGUAGUAUCUUCUAAGGGUGUUCAUGUUGAUGAAUCUAAGAUCAAUGCUAUUAAAACUUGGCCCCAACCAACAAAUUUGCAACAAGUGCAUAGUUUUCUUGUUUUAGCCGGUUUCUACCGUAGAUUUGUGAAGGAUUUUAGCACCAUUGCUUCACCUUUGCAUGCUUUGAGUAAGAAAAAUGCACCGUUUGUUUGGGGAACAUCACAAGAUAUCGCUUUCAAUGAGCUUAAGAAUUUGCUUACUCAUGCUCCCGUGCUUGCAUUACCCAACUUUGACAAACCUUUCGAAAUUCAUUGCGAUGCUAGUGGUAAUGGAAUAGGAGGUGUGUUAACGCAAGAGAAGCGCCCAAUUGCUUAUUUUAGUGAGAAACUCUCCGAAGCGCAACUCAAUUACCCUAUCUAUGACAAAGAGCUAUAUGCUUUGGUGCGAGUUUUGCAUGAAUGGGAACAUUACCUACGCCCUCAUGAGUUCAUCAUCCAUACCGACCAUGAAACGCUUAAAUAUCUUAAGGGUCAAACUAAGUUGAACAAGCGUCAUGCUAAAUGGAGUGAGUUCAUUGAGUCUUUUCCUUAUGUCAUCAAGUAUAUUAAAGGUAAGGAAAAUGUUGUGGCGGAUGCGCUUUCCCGUAUAUGCAUGCUUGUCACUCAACUUGAGUUAAAUGUCAUUGGCUUUGAGCAUAUAAAAGACUUGUAUGAGCAUGACCCUACAUUUGCUAUUCCUUAUGCAAAGUGUUUGACGCAUACUUCUUGGGAUCGAUACUACAUCAAAGAUGGAUAUCUUAUGAGAGCUAACAAACUUUGCAUCCCCGAGUCCUCUCUUCGCUUGUUGCUUUUGCAGGAAUCUCACGGAGGCGGACUCAUGGGACACUUCGGACGUGACAAGACAUUUGCUACGCUCUCCAAGAACUACUUUUGGCCCAAGAUGUUUCGUGACGUCAAUCGCUUCACCAACCGAUGUUCUACAUGUCACAAAGCUAAGUCUAAAGCCCAAUCUCAUGGCCUCUAUAUGCCACUUCCAAUUCCAUAUCAACCAUGGGAAGAUAUUAGCAUGGACUUUGUGCUUGGUUUACCUAGAACUAGAAAUGGCAAGGAUUCCGUUUUUGUUGUUGUGGACCGAUUCUCCAAAAUGGCACAUUUCAUUCCUUGCAACAAGAUAGACGAUGCUUCACAUGUUGCAAAUUUGUUUUGUAGGGAAAUCUUGCGCCUAAAUGGAGUGCCCAAGACGAUUGUCUCGGAUCGCGACGUCAAGUUCUUGAGUUACUUUUGGAAGACCUUGUGCGCCAAGCUCGGCAUCAAGCUUUUGUUCUCUUCGGCAUAUCAUCCACAAACCGACGGCCAAACGGAGGUCACCAACCGCACGCUAUCCACUCUACUACGCGUGUUGAUAAAGAAGAACAUCAAGGAGUGGGAGGAGUGCCUACCUAUCGCCGAGUACGCCUACAAUCGUGCAAGACAUUCGACUACCGGCAAGUCCCCCUUCGAGGUCGUCUACGGAUUCAACCCAUUGUCCCCAUUGGACAUUCUACCUCUACCGCUACAAGAGCGCACAAACAUGGACGCGAGUGCCCGAGUCAACUUCCUCAAGAAGAUGCAUGAAGAUACAAGGAACACCAUCGAGCGCCAAGUACAACGACUCGCGACCAAGCUCAACAUCAACAAGCAACCCAUGAUGUUCAAUGUUGGAGAUCUUGUGUGGCUACACCUUCGCAAGGAUCGCUUCCCCAAGGAAUGCAAGUCCAAGCUACUACCCCGAGCGGAUGGACCAUUCAAGGUGCUUGCACGCUACAACAACAACGCAUACAAGAUCGACAUCCCACGCGACAAGUACUCCGUGAGCGACAUCUUCAACAUCAAAGAUCUCUCCCCGUACCAUGGUGAUGAGGAUUUCGAUCCGAGGUCGGAUCUUUCCCAAGGGAGGGGAGAUGAUGCGGAGCAUCCUACGAUCAUCCCCAUGGACCUACCAUCGUCUCAUCAAGAGCCAAGAGGACCUAUGACACGAGCACGAGCUAGAGCUCUCGAGAACAAGGUGACUUCCUUCCUUAGUGAUAUCACAUAUGAUCCACUCGAGACAUGGCUACUACCUAAGUCCGAUGUGCUAUGCAUGAUUAGCUGUCAAGAGGAACCCCCGAGGAUGCACGUGAAGACGGACAAGCCGCCAAGUCCAUGGAUGAAGAGAAUCAACGGAAACGGGCAAGUUCACCUUCCAGGCCCCGGACAUCCGGCCAUGACCCUGGACAUCUGGCCCCUGGAGCAUCCACAACAGCAGCAGCCCAAACGCCCAAGCCUACAGGGCCCAGACAUCCGGCGUCCAGCCCGGACAUCCGGCCCCAACCCGGAAAUCCGGCCAAAAGCCCGGACAUCCGGCGCCACGCUACAGAAAUCCAGAAGUUUUGCCCUCCAGCCCGGACAUCCGCCCCCCAGCCCGGACAUCCGGCCUCUCCUGAAGCCCCGGACAUCCGGCCACCACUGUCUGCGCACAGUAAGGGCCGAGGCCUGUGUACCCCUUCGACCCCCUAGACUAUAUAUACUAUUUCUCCUCCAUCUUUCUAGGGUUAGCAUUGGUUUAGCUCAUAUGUGA
rnacentral:rRNA from 1 species